rnacentral:rRNA from 1 species
GACGAACGCUGGCGGCGUGCUUAACACAUGCAAGUCGAACGAUGAAGCCUAGCUUGCUAGGUGGAUUAGUGGCGAACGGGUGAGUAAUACGUGAGUAACCUACCUUUAACUCUGGGAUAAGCCUGGGAAACUGGGUCUAAUACCGGAUACGACCAAUCUCCGCAUGGGGUGUUGGUGGAAAGCGUUAUGUAGUGGUUAUAGAUGGGCUCACGGCCUAUCAGCUUGUUGGUGAGGUAACGGCUCACCAAGGCGACGACGGGUAGCCGGCCUGAGAGGGUGACCGGCCACACUGGGACUGAGACACGGCCCAGACUCCUACGGGAGGCAGCAGUGGGGAAUAUUGCACAAUGGGCGCAAGCCUGAUGCAGCGACGCCGCGUGAGGGAUGACGGCCUUCGGGUUGUAAACCUCUGUUAGCAGGGAAGAAGAGAGAUUGACGGUACCUGCAGAGAAAGCGCCGGCUAACUACGUGCCAGCAGCCGCGGUAAUACGUAGGGCGCGAGCGUUGUCCGGAAUUAUUGGGCGUAAAGAGCUUGUAGGCGGUUUGUCGCGUCUGCUGUGAAGGCCGGAGCUUAACUCCGUGUAUUGCAGUGGGUACGGGCAGACUAGAGUGCAGUAGGGGAGACUGGAAUUCCUGGUGUAGCGGUGGAAUGCGCAGAUAUCAGGAGGAACACCGAUGGCGAAGGCAGGUCUCUGGGCUGUAACUGACGCUGAGAAGCGAAAGCAUGGGGAGCGAACAGGAUUAGAUACCCUGGUAGUCCAUGCCGUAAACGUUGGGCACUAGGUGUGGGGGACAUUCCACGUUUUCCGCGCCGUAGCUAACGCAUUAAGUGCCCCGCCUGGGGAGUACGGCCGCAAGGCUAAAACUCAAAGAAAUUGACGGGGGCCCGCACAAGCGGCGGAGCAUGCGGAUUAAUUCGAUGCAACGCGAAGAACCUUACCAAGGCUUGACAUAUACUGGACUGCAUCAGAGAUGGUGUUUCCCUUCGGGGCUGGUAUACAGGUGGUGCAUGGUUGUCGUCAGCUCGUGUCGUGAGAUGUUGGGUUAAGUCCCGCAACGAGCGCAACCCUCGUUCUAUGUUGCCAGCACGUUAUGGUGGGGACUCAUAGGAGACUGCCGGGGUCAACUCGGAGGAAGGUGGGGAUGACGUCAAAUCAUCAUGCCCCUUAUGUCUUGGGCUUCACGCAUGCUACAAUGGCCGGUACAGAGGGUUGCGAUACUGUGAGGUGGAGCUAAUCCCUAAAAGCCGGUCUCAGUUCGGAUUGGGGUCUGCAACUCGACCCCAUGAAGUCGGAGUCGCUAGUAAUCGCAGAUCAGCAACGCUGCGGUGAAUACGUUCCCGGGCCU